rnacentral:rRNA from 1 species
GCGCGAAAACUUUACAAUGCGAGAAAUCGUGAUAAGGGAACCCCGAGUGCCCGUAAAUUCGGGCUGUUAAUCUGUGUAAAAAGCAGGUGGAGAAAGGGCCGGGCAAGACCGGUGCCAGCCGCCGCGGUAAUACCGGCGGCUCGAGUGGUGGCCACUAUUACUGGGCUUAAAGCGUCCGUAGCUGGAUUGUUAAGUCUCUUGGGAAAUCUACCGGCUUAACCGAUAGGCGUUCAAGGGAUACUGGCAAUCUAGGGACCGGGAGAGGUGAGAGGUACUCCAGGGGUAGGAGUGAAAUCCUGUAAUCCUUGGGGGACCACCUGUGGCGAAGGCGUCUCACCAGAACGGCUCCGACAGUGAGGGACGAAAGCUGGGGGAGCAAACCGGAUUAGAUACCCGGGUAGUCCCAGCUGUAAACGAUGUGCGUUAGGUGUAUCGGUGACCACGAGUCACCGAGGUGCCGAAGAGAAAUCGUGAAACGUACGCCUGGAGUACGGUCGCAAGCGUGAAACUUAAAGGAAGUUAGGUCGGGGAGGCGACCACGAACGGUGGAGCCGUGCGGUU